rfam:Chlorocebus sabaeus isolate 1994-021 chromosome 9, whole genome shotgun sequence.
GCCGGGCGCGGUGGCUCAAGCCUGUAAUCCCAGCACUUUGGGAGGCCGAGACGGGCGGAUCACGAGGUCAGGAGAUCGAGACCAUCCUGGCUAACACGGUGAAACCCCGUCUCUACUAAAAAAAAAAUACAAAACCUAGCCGGGCGAGGUGGCGGGCGCCUGUAGUCCCUNNNNNNNNNNAGGGACUACAGGCGCCCGCCACCUCGCCCGGCUAGGUUUUGUAUUUUUUUUUUAGUAGAGACGGGGUUUCACCGUGUUAGCCAGGAUGGUCUCGAUCUCCUGACCUCGUGAUCCGCCCGUCUCGG